rnacentral:misc_RNA from 1 species
UGGCUCUCGCAUCGAUGAAGAACGCAGCGAAAUGCGAUAAGUAAUGUGAAUUGCAGAAUUCAGUGAAUCAUCGAAUCUUUGAACGCACCUUGCGCUCCUUGGUAUUCCUCGGAGCAUGCCUGUUUGAGUAUCAUGAAAUUCUCAAAGUAAAUCUUUUGUUCGCUCAAUGGACUUUGCUUUGGACUUGGAGGUCUGCAGAUUCCACAGUCUGCUCCUCUCAAAUGCAUUAGCUGGAUCUCGGCGAACUUGGUUCCACUCGGCGUGAUAAGUAUCACUCGCCGAGGACACCCGUUAAAAAAGGUGGCCAGGGUUGCAGAUGAACCGCUUCUAACGGUCUAUUGACUUGGACAAUAAAUUUAUGAUCUGAUCUCAAAUCAGGUAGGACUACCCGCUGA